ACGUUGGCAGCCCUGAAUCAUAGCUAUUGGCAGGCCUGAAUGAACCCGAAACAGUCGACCCUUCAGAUACAAAGCAGCGAGCGGCCAAACCCAUCAUCUCUCAAACCCAGACCAACGCUGCUAUGACACAAGACGCUUCCACCAUCAUUCCUACGGCUGAGAAGAUAGAAGAAGACGUCCCUGGGUGAGCCACAAGACGAAGAAGCUGUGUUAUCGUUGUCCAGGGAGCAAGGAAGCCAAGAGAAGCCGGAUUGAGCUGAAAUUCGUGAAGUUUGAGGGACAUUUGUAUUCCUGAGCCGACCGACGCCCCGCCAUGCUGCCUCUCUCGUCUCCUUCACCUCGGGCCUCGAUGUCUUCUGCGGCCCAUUGUCUUCAAACGUUGAUAAAUUAAUCCACUUCCCUCACUCAACCUCAUCUUGACGUAUGAUUGGCGGACGUCAGGUGAAGGAAGAAGCACUUGGUUGGUGGACGAUGAAGAGCAGAGGAACGAUAUCGUGGGCUUGUAUACUUAAGUUAUUCUGAACGCACUAAUAACGGGUCAUAGUAGAGUAGAUGUUCUUGACAGUCAUGCAUGCUUGUCGCAGUGAAUAUAAAUGCAACAGGAGCGGGAGGGGAAGGCUGAAUAUAGUCAUUAUGAGCUGCGCUGGGAAGAAGAAAAGUGAUCGUCAAUAUCGUACACGAAAGAAAGCCCUACUUAGUUGAUAGCCAUGAAACUGAAGCCGUCACUGGUCGGCCACCUCUUCAGUAACACCACAUGUCCUGUCGCUGCCCCUGAUGCUAUACUUCAUCAAAGUCCUCAAGCUGCUUAAGUUUUAUGGUUGACAGGAUCUAGAAGCUCAUGAUGUAACCCUGCACCUUGCUGGUGCAGGGGAGUUGGGAGGAAAAGUCUGAUGAUAACUUGUGUGUCAGGCGGUGAGGACGACAGUAGUCCCAAUUGCGUGGCGGGAUUCAAGAUGCGCCGAGGACUGGUACAGAAAGAUUUGAGGAAGAACCUGGUGGUGCCACGGCAUCGCUCGUAAGCAGCCCACUACCCUCUCCUGUACCAGAGGAAAGGAGGAACCUGGUCGACCUCGGCAUAUCUCAACAGCCCACUAUCCUCUCGUGUACAAGAGAAAAAGUGUAAGUCAAUAAAUUUAUAUCUAGAAAA